UACGUAGGGUGCGAGCGUUAAUCGGAUUUACUGGGCGUAAAGCGUGCGCAGGCGGCCCGUUAAGACAGGUGUGAAAUCCCUGGGCUCAACCUAGGAAUUGCGCUUGUGACUGGCGGGCUCGAGUACGGUAGAGGGGGGUGGAAUUCCUGGUGUAGCAGUGAAAUGCGUAGAGAUCAGGAGGAACACCGAUGGCGAAGGCAGCCCCCUGGGCCUGUACUGACGCUCAUGCACGAAAGCGUGGGGAUCAAACAGG
rnacentral:rRNA from 1 species